rnacentral:rRNA from 1 species
GGACGGGAUCCAUCGGAGAGCUUGCUCGAAGAUGGUGAGAGUGGCGCACGGGUGCGUAACGCGUGAGCAACCUACCUCUAUCAGGGGGAUAGCCUCUCGAAAGAGAGAUUAACACCGCAUAACAUAUCUGACCGGCAUCGGUUAGCUAUUAAAUAUUUAUAGGAUAGAGAUGGGCUCGCGUGACAUUAGCUAGUUGGUAGGGUAACGGCUUACCAAGGCGACGAUGUCUAGGGGCUCUGAGAGGAGAAUCCCCCACACUGGUACUGAGACACGGACCAGACUCCUACGGGAGGCAGCAGUAAGGAAUAUUGGUCAAUGGGCGGAAGCCUGAACCAGCCAUGCCGCGUGCAGGAUGACUGCCCUAUGGGUUGUAAACUGCUUUUGUCCAGGAAUAAACCUAGAUACGUGUAUCUAGCUGAAUGUACUGGAAGAAUAAGGAUCGGCUAACUCCGUG